UGAGUAACACGUGAGCAACCUGCCCUUCACUUCGGGAUAAGCCUUGUCAAACGGGGUCUAAUACCGGAUACGACACACCUGCGCAUGCGGAAUGUGUGGAAAGUUUAUCGGUGGGGGAUGGGCUCACGGCCUAUCAGCUUGUUGGUGGGGUGAUGGCCUAACAGGCGACUACGGGUAGCCGGCCUGAGAGGGCGACCGGCCACACUGGGACUGACACACGGCCCAAACUCCUACGGGAGGCAGCAGUGGGGAAUAUUGCACAAUGGGCGCAAGCCUGAUGCACCGACGCCGCGUGAGGGAUGAAGGCCUUCGGGUUGUAAACCUCUUUCGGCAGGGAACAAGCGAAAGUGACGGUACCUGCAGAAGAAGCGCCGGCUAGCUACGUGCCAUCAGCCGCGGUAAUACGUAGGGCGCAAGCGUUGUCCGGAAUUAUUGGGCGUAAAGAGCUCGUAGGCGGUUUGUCGCGUCUGCUGUGAAAUCCUCAGGCUCAACCUGGGGCUUGCAGUGGGUACGGGCAG
rnacentral:rRNA from 1 species